rnacentral:rRNA from 1 species
UNCGCUGGCGGCGGCCUACCAUGCAAGUCGAGCGGUUGAGGUAGCUUGCUACCGAUGCAGCGGCGAACGGGUGAGUAAUACAUGGGAAUCUGCCUGGUAGUGGGGGACAACGUUUCGAAAGGAACGCUAAUACCGCAUACGCCCUACGGGGGAAAGGGGGGGAUCGCAAGACCUCCCGCUAUCAGAUGAGCCCAUGUCAGAUUAGCUUGUUUGUGAGGUAAAGGCUCACCAAGGCGACGAUCUGUAACUGGUCUGAGAGGAUGAUCAGUCACACUGGAACUGAGACACGGUCCAGACUCCUACGGGAGGCAGCAGUGGGGAAUAUUGGACAAUGGGCGCAAGCCUGAUCCAGCCAUGCCGCGUGUGUGAAGAAGGCCUUAGGGUCGUAAAGCACUUUCAGUGGGGAGAAAGGUCAUUCACCUAAUACGUGAGUGAAUUGAUGUUACCCACAGAAGAAGCACCGGCUAACUCCGUGCCAGCAGCCGCGGUAAUACGGAGGGUGCAAGCGUUAAUCGGAAUUACUGGGCGUAAAGCGUACGUAGGUGGUUUGUUAAGCCAGCUGUGAAAUCCCCGGGCUCAACCUGGGCACUGCAGUUGGA